AACGAACGCUGGCGGCAUGCCUAACACAUGCAAGUCGAGCGGACCCUCCGGGGUUUUGGGCGGAUGGCUGAGUAACGCGUGGGAAGGGGCCCUUUGGGUCGGAAUAGCUCUGGGAAAGUGGGAGUAAUACCGGAUACGCCCUUUUGGGGAAAGAUUUAUUGACGAAGGUUCGUCCCGCGUUGGAUUAGGUUGUUGGUGGGGUAAUGGCCUCCUAAGCGGACGAUCCAUAGCUGGUUUGAGAGGAUGAUCAGCCACACUGGGACUGAGACACGGCCCAGACUCCUACGGGAGGCAGCAGUGGGGAAUCUUAGACAAUGGGGGAAAUCCUGAUCUAGCCAUGCCGCGUGAGCGAUGAAGGCCUUAGGGUUGUAAAGCUCUUUCACCGGGGAAGAUAAUGACGGUACCCGGAGAAGAAGCCCCGGCUAACUCCGUG
rnacentral:rRNA from 1 species